GUCGUCGACGUACGUCUACGAGAGUUAGUAGUCACUGGCUCAGAGUGAACGCUGGCGGCGUGCUUAACACAUGCAAGUCGAACGGAUGAAUAAGCUUGCUAUUCGUAGUGGCGCACGGGUGAGUAAUGUAUAGCUAACCUGCCCUUUAGUGGGGGACAACAGUUGGAAACGACUGCUAAUACCCCAUACCCCAGCCUAUCAAAAGGUAGGUUGGGAAAGAUUUAUUGCUAAAGGAUGGGGCUUUAUGGUAUCAGCUAGUUGGUGGGGUAACGGCCUACCAAGGCAAUGACGCCUACCUGGUCUGAGAGGAUGAUCAGGCACACUGGAACUGAGACACGGUCCAGACUCCUACGGGAGGCAGCAGUGGGGAAUAUUGCACAAUGGGGGAAACCCUGAUGCAGCAACGCCGCGUGGAGGAUGACGCAUUUCGGUGUGUAAACUCCUUUUAUAAGGGAAGAUAAUGACGGUACCUUAUGAAUAAGCACCGGCUAACUCCGUGCCAGCCGCCGC
rnacentral:rRNA from 1 species